ACAGGAUUAGAUACCCUGGUAGUCCACGCCGUAAACGAUGUCGACUUGGAGGCUGUUCCCUUGAGGAGUGGCUUCCGGAGCUAACGCGUUAAGUCGACCGCCUGGGGAGUACGGCCGCAAGGUUAAAACUCAAAUGAAUUGACGGGGGCCCGCACAAGCGGUGGAGCAUGUGGUUUAAUUCGAUGCAACGCGAAGAACCUUACCUGGCCUUGACAUCCAGAGAACUUUCCAGAGAUGGAUUGGUGCCUUCGGGAACUCUGAGACAGGUGCUGCAUGGCUGUCGUCAGCUCGUGUUGUGAAAUGUUGGGUUAAGUCCCGCAACGAGCGCAACCCUUAUCCUUUGUUGCCAGCGAUUCGGUCGGGAACUCAAAGGAGACUGCCGGUGAUAAACCGGAGGAAGGUGGGGAUGACGUCAAGUCAUCAUGGCCCUUACGGCCAGGGCUACACACGUGCUACAAUGGCGCAUACAAAGAGAAGCGACCUCGCGAGAGCAAGCGGACCUCAUAAAGUGCGUCGUAGUCCGGAUCGGAGUCUGCAACUCGACUCCGUGAAGUCGGAAUCGCUAGUAAUCGUGGAUCAGAACGCCACGGUGAAUACGUUCCCGGGCCUUGUACACACCGCCCGUCACACCAUGGGAGUGGGUUGCAAAAGAAGUAGGUAGCUUAACCUUCGGGAGGGCGCUUACCACUUUGUGAUUCAUGACUGGGGUGAAGUCGUAACAAGGUACC
rnacentral:rRNA from 1 species